rnacentral:lncRNA from 1 species
UUUGAAUAUUUAAAAUUAUAAUUUAAAAUUUAAAAAUUUUAAAUUUUUACAUUUAAAUUUUAAAAUCUAAAAUGUCAAAUUUUAAAUUUUAUCUUAAAUUUAAAAUUUUAAAAUCUAAAAUUUGAGAUUUGAAAAUUAAAAUUAAAAUUUAAAAUUUGAAAUUUGAAAUCUAUUUUUCAAAGUUUAAAAUUUAAAAGUUAAAAUUUAAAAAUUCAAAAAUGAAUCUGAAAUUUAAAAAUUAAAAUUAAAAUUAAAUUUAAAUUUAAAUAUUGAAAUUAAAAUAAAAAUAAAAAUUUAAAGUUUAAAUCCAAAAUCAGAAUCAGAUUUUAUGAAGCAGCUUUUUUCUGCUUCUGAUUCUGGGACCUUUAAAAUUAGUUUUCUGAUUCUAAAAAGCUGAAUCAGAUUUUAAAAGUGAGUUGCCAAACGCUCUAUUAAGCCGAAAAUCACUUCUCAGCCCAAAUGCGCUUUUUAAAAGUUAGGCCAAAUACCCCCUUAGCUUUGAUAAUAUUAAUUCUCUUUGAAAUAUAGCAAAUUAGGUAAUGCCAAACUUGCUAGGCUGGUUAAAAAAAAAAAGAAAUCAUUAUUAACAAAUUGACGAGCCAAUUCAGCAACCCUGGUACUAGGAUACUAAUUGUAUAUAUAUCCAUCCACGGCACAUUGUAUUUGUUGGCAUAAUUAAUCCAAUUAAAUUUAGAAAUAUUCCCUCUUAUUAUUCUGUUUAGAAAUAUCAGUUAUAUAUAUAUAUAUAUAUAUAUAUAUAUAUAGAGAGAGAGAGAGAGAGAGAGAGAGAGAGAGAGAGUGUUUUGCUAAAAUACUAUCGGUAGUAAACAAGCCGUUUUACUACCCAUUUGUUUUCGAUGAUAGAACUUCCAAAUUUAUGAUCGGCUCCGUUGAACAUGAUCUAUACCACUUGAAGUGCUUAGAAAUCAAAUUUCAAAUCUUUUCGACAUCAUUUGCUUAAUGAUCAAAGGAUUUCAAAAUUUGUAAUUUUAAUGGUCAAAAAGAGGCGUUUUCACGUUUAACGGUAUAAAGAUAUCCAAAUCGAUUGAAUUUUUGUUAGAAAAUUCUUUAAACUAAUUAAAACAAUAUCUAUACUCUUGAUCUUGAUUACAAGACUCCUAUCAUCAUUUUCUAAAGAGUAUUUAUUUUCAGCCAUUCAUUUUUGUGUUUACUUGAUGGAUAAAAGAACAAUAUCGAAAAUGCGUGAAAUUUAAUUUUUAGGUAGUUUAAAUGGUUUAGAUCAUAUUUAACGAAGCCGAUCGUCAAUUUGGAAGUUCUAUCAUCGAAAACAAAUCGGUAGUAAAACGGCUCGUUUACUACCGAUAGUAUUCUAGCUCAACUAUAUAUAUAUAAAAUUAUUGUGGUAAG